UCUCUCCUUUUGUGCUAUUCAGACAGGUUAGUACGUGUUAGACAUAAGUAUUGUCAGGAGUCCCUUUCACGAUUAAACAAAAAAAAAGGCAGUCACGUUUGCAUUUUAAGCAAUGAUAAGCUCCAAAGCACUUUAACAGCACUGUUAACAAAUAUGGCGUUGAUUUGUCUCUAGGUUGUUGUUUGUUGUUUGCUGUUGUUAUAGUUUUCAGCAGUCAUUCUCGUGAAUAAUGCUUAGAACAAAUCCAAUUGCCCUUUUACAAUCGACAAUAACGCCUAAAACACUUUUAAUUUCACAGAAACGGUGCAAAACAGCAGCGCAAGCAAUAGUGAAGCGUCCGCAGAGGAAUGUACCACACAGGCAGAGAACAGUACCGACUCAGCCGUCAGCACAACAGGUUACACCCGACCACCAUUUUGCAAUGAAUAUCCCGGUGACGGGAUUUGUCCAGAUGGAAAGGUAGUGAGGGGAAGUAACUUCAGCCGAGAAAAUUUAAAGUGGUGUUUCUUUAAUGAUUCCAUUACCUGCGGGAUGCAUCGGUGGAACGGUUGCGGAAAUCCGGGAAACCUUUUCUCAACUUGCAGGGAGUGCAUCGGAAACUGUACUGAUGAAGACCCUGAAGAGAAGUGUGGGUGGUUGAAGGAGGAUGACUCUUGAUGUGACUUCCAAAUGCAGCACGUGGAAAAUAUCUUGUGAGAAAGAUAUUUAUUUCAGACGUGCUGAAACUUGAAAAAUAUUGGGAAUAAAUAGAUCUAGACGUAGGGUGCAUACCAAAUGCGUUUGUGUAGUUAUUAUUUCUGCAGACUAUAGAAUUGCGACUAUAUCUACGCGAACACAAUUAGAAUUGCAAUCGCGAUGAAAAAUGUGCAUCCAACAACACGGACACGAUUGUUAGUAGGUUCACCGCGUCAUAUUUUCCAGUGUUUUUUUUUUUUUUAUGUGCGCAGGUUACAUUCGGUCAGAUUUCCAUAACAUCAACAUGUCGGAGAUACAGUUGGAAAACGCAGUGCGUCUUCGUAAUAAAGAAACCAGCGUAUAUCCUUUUAGCGCCAUAAAUAUCACACCCGUAAUGACCACAUGACAUAAUCACGCCACGCAAUACGCGUGCCUCGAGUGAACGAGCGUGCCUCGAGUGAAUGAUGAUCCAGAAGAACCUGCCUUCCGUCGUGUAUCGCGCUAUCAGAGGAAUUCCUCGGCUCUUGACACCAGUUUCACCGUUUCGGCCGUCCCGGUAAGCCUGGUUGGCCCAUCUCAAAGCCAGGCUGCACCUCAACGGCAUCACGUCACAGCUGCUCACUUCUGCCAUCCUUCUCGAUGUCCUCCCGAUUUAACUGUGGCGCCUCUUCUGCGCACCGUCCAUCAGCCCGCGGCCUUUCGAAA